rnacentral:rRNA from 1 species
GUGGGGAAUCUUGCGCAAUGGGCGAAAGCCUGACGCAGCCAUGACGCGUGAAUGAUGAAGGUCUUAGGAUUGUAAAAUUCUUUCACCGGGGACGAUAAUGACGGUACCCGGAGAAGAAGCCCCGGCUAACUUCGUGCCAGCAGCCGCGGUAAUACGAAGGGGGCUAGCGUUGCUCGGAAUUACUGGGCGUAAAGGGCGCGUAGGCGGAUCGUUAAGUCAGGGGUGAAAUCCCAGAGCUCAACUCUGGAACUGCCCUUGAUACUGGCGAUCUUGAGUGUGAGAGAGGUAUGUGGAACUCCGAGUGUAGAGGUGAAAUUCGUAGAUAUUCGGAAGAACACCAGUGGCGAAGGCGACAUACUGGCUCAUUACUGACGCUGAGGCGCGAAAGCGUGGGGAGCAAACAGGAUUAGAUACCCUGGUAGUCC